CUUUUCUGGAUCUGGGCUCCUUAAUCCCUUUAGCCAUGAGUUGGAGCCAUGAGAUGGAAGACUCAGUUAAGACAGAAAAAAAAGGUUAAAAGUGAAUUUAAGAAGAGGAGAGGAAAAGACCUUGUAAAGGGAGACACCAAUAAAUGUUUCCAGCACUGCUGUGGCACAAGUAUUCUAAUCUCGGACUCUAUUACACCAUUAGCUAGAGAGAAUGGUGGCAGUUGGAGGCAGUUGAGAGAAUUAGAUGAGAUUAGAAUUAGAGAUUUUUUAAGUCCCUGCUAAUUGUAACCUCUGAGAUACAUCUUACUUUCCAUAUAACAAGAUCCUGUCUGAAAUGCUGGCCUAGACUGAGUUGCCACGCAUUCCUUAGAAGUGGAGAAAAAGAUGAAUAUGCUGGGAAGACAUUUGAUUGCUUGAGACUUCAGCCAUAGUUUUGCUUUCACAAAAGGGUGUUAUGAGUUGCCAAUGCUCUAGGAAGACAUUAAAUCUACAGCCUUCUUGCCUUGCCACUACUGAAGAUGAGUUGGGUGCCCGAACUGUGAAAGGGUUUCUAGUAAGUAUCAUUGUUAGGGGUUGGGGGGAUUUCAAAAACUUAGCAGAAGUGCUUUAAGAAGAAGUUAUCCAGACAAUGAGCAAAGAGGACAUUUGGAAAGGGAUCAAGAGAUAUGAUUGAGUACAGACCUUAUACAUAUUAGUGGAGAGAGAAGGUCAGAUGUUAAUUAUGGGGACUUCAGUCAGAUAAGAUUUUCUAGGGAGUUGAGGUUCUUGUGUAAAAUCCUCUAUUAGAGGCUCUAAAUAAAAGGAAGAUGCUAUUUUAGAUGCUAACCUCUAGGUCUGCCCCCAAUUCCGUGCCCUAAGGCUUUGUUCACAGAUGUACACUAAAGAAGAGAGAGUUUGUUUCAUCAAAAAAAUGUAUAUAUAUAUAUAUAUACAAUAAAUACAUAAAAAUCAGUAUCUUUUACUUAGUGGGUUCACCUUUCCUUGGCAAAUUCAAUAAAAUGUGAAUUCUCUGAAAUAUACUCAAUGAUUCUUUGAUCUCACUGAUGUUCUUCGAUUCUAUUGCUCUUCUUUAUGAUUGAACAGAAUUAAAAAAAAAUCAUUUCUUUUAGAUUUAGAUUUCUCCGGAUAUUUCUUAUUAUCAUUAAUAAAUCAAAAUAUUCUCACAUGAUUUAGGAAGUUAAACCAUAUAUAUUAGUGUGCUUCCAAAGGAAAAUAGUCUUAGAAAAAAUUUCAUUCUCUAAGCACGGAACUGAUUUAUUGUGUUCCCGUUAGGCAUUGUCCAUUGAGCUGAGAAGAAGUUUCACAUGGAGAAAAAAAGUCAAAGGAUAAAAUAGUUGAAAUGGAGUUGAGAAGUGAGCCCCCCAAAUUUAGAUUUUUAGAUAUGUAAGAGACUUUAAGUUAUGUAUUCCAGAAACCUAAUGCAAGAAUCAUAUCUACAAGAUUCGGACAAGUAAACAUAAUUCAGAGUUUUUUGAAUUGUUUAUCUUAUGAUAUUUCACUAGCAGAUGUCCUAAAACAAGAGGAUUCUAAUGACUUUGCCACCAUUUUCAUUUUUGAAUUUUUUUUACUCAUACAAGACACGGGGCUUACCAGACGUUACUUUUUGAUUUUUUAAACUGCAUUUAAACUUCGUGGAAAUAGAUAGAAAAAGGAGGUGGUGCCAAUGCU
ensembl:lncRNA